rnacentral:ncRNA from 1 species
CUCUUAUCGAGAGCAGGUGGAGGGACUGGCCCGAUGAAACCCGGCAACCGGCAACUGCGAGCGCAGUUGCAGCGGUGCUAAUUCCAGCAGAACGUUACGUUCUGGCAGAUAAGAG